ACACUAAAGUGUAAAUCAAAUCAAAAAAAUUUCAUUAUCAAACACACCAUUUAGCUUGCUUGACGUCGUCUCCAAUCUCUGAACACACAAACAACGUGAACGAAACCCUGAUUAUUAUUGUUUAGAGCUGGAAAAACUAUGAGUAAUCUGAGAACGAUUUGUAGACCUCACAUCCACAUAGUAUUCUUCUCUUCCUUCAUAUGCUGCAGAAGCCAAGCUGCCAAAUCUAGGGUUUCUUUUCGAAACCCUAACUCCCAGUCCCGUGUCUCCUUGCCUUGUGCGUUCUCUCCUUGGUGUUAUUCCAACAGAAACGAGCCGUGGUUUCGUGUGAGUCAGAGGAGAACGCUGGUUAGAGCAUCCAAGUGGACCGACGAGAAGUCUCCCUAUGAGACUCUUGUGCAAAAACAUAUUUGCAGGUGGUGAGAGCGAUUGAGAAUUAAAAAAUUAGCUGACACUCUUUAGUAAUAGUUUGAUCAAUUUGAAUGAGGUGACAAACUUACUCCCUGGCACUUGGUGAGAAAUUGAGGUUGUUUUUUCUUUCUUUUUUUUUUUUCAUUAAGGCCAUGCUUGGCAUGAUUGUUUUAUAGCCUGGAAGUUCUUAAUUACUAUUACAGAGAACUUUUAACUGAUAUUUGAUUACAACUCAAGGGCUCUAGAAUAGAGAAGUUUGCAUCAGGAUUAAUUUUUUUU